rnacentral:rRNA from 1 species
CCUCGGGCGGCUCCAGUGAGGAAUAUUGCACAAUGGGGGGAACCCUGAUGCAGCAACGCCGCGUGGAGGAUGACGCAUUUCGGUGUGUAAACUCCUUUUAUAUGUCAAGAAAAUGACGGUAGCAUAUGAAUAAGCGCCGGCUAACUCCGUGCCAGCAGCCGCGGUAAUACGGAGGGCGCAAGCGUUACUCGGAAUCACUGGGCGUAAAGGACGCGUAGGCGGGUUGAAAAGUCAGGUGUGAAAGCCUACAGCUUAACUGUAGAACUGCACUUGAAACUCUCAAUCUAGAGUAUGGGAGGGGCAGAUGGAAUUAGUGGUGUAGGGGUAAAAUCCGUAGAUAUCACUAGGAAUACCUAAAGCGAAGGCGAUCUGCUGGAACAUUACUGACGCUAAGGCGUGAAAGCGUGGGGAGCAAACAGGAUUAGAUACCCUCGUAGUC